rnacentral:lncRNA from 1 species
AACGGUGAAAUCAAGCAAAAUAAUUUUUAACUAGGAUUCUAUUAAGCAACUCACAUUUCUUUAUGUUUGUCUACAGAUGUGUGUCAGUCAGCUAAACAUUGCUCAGUCCCUCAAUUCCAGUGUUCAGUCAUGUCAGGCCAGUCUCAAAUUUAAACAUUGUUUGUUGUUGCUUUUUGGUAAUUCUCAAUUUUCAUCUUAUCUAUUGUUUG